rnacentral:rRNA from 1 species
UGGGGAAUAUUGGACAAUGGGCGGAAGCCUGAUCCAGCCAUGCCGCGUGUGUGAAGAAGGCCUUUUGGUUGUAAAGCACUUUAAGCGAGGAGGAGGCUACUUGGAUUAAUACUCUAGGAUAGUGGACGUUACUCGCAGAAUAAGCACCGGCUAACUCUGUGCCAGCAGCCGCGGUAAUACAGAGGGUGCGAGCGUUAAUCGGAUUUACUGGGCGUAAAGCGUGCGUAGGCGGCUUCUUAAGUCGGAUGUGAAAUCCCUGAGCUUAACUUAGGAAUUGCAUUCGAUACUGGGAAGCUAGAGGAUGGGAGAGGAUGGUAGAAUUCCAGGUGUAGCAGUGAAAUGCGUAGAGAUCUGGAGGAAUACCGAUGGCGAAGGCAGCCAUCUGGCCUAAUACUGACGCUGAGGUACGAAAGCAUGGGGAGCAAACAGG